rnacentral:lncRNA from 1 species
GAUACAGAGACUUGUAAGAUUGAAGGAAAUCAUCUUAUCUGGUUUUUAUCCUUUUUGGAAGCAUCAAAAGGAAAACUGGAGGCUGCAGUGAUAUACAAAGCUUUCUCAGCAGAGAAAAUUGGCCUCUUUACUUUGGAAGACUUUUGUCUAUGGUUUACGCAUUUAAGAGCCUUCCCACCGACUUUCUACAAGCUGGAUGAAAUAUAUCAGUAAGUAACAUGAUUCUGACAUAAGAUUAAAAUUUUUUAUAGUCAUAAAUUAUUGCAUAUGUGAAUUCACAGUUCUGUUUAAACAAACCUAUGACUAU